CACGUAGGGGACGAGCGUUGUCCGGAUUCAUUGGGCGUAAAGCGCGCGUAGGCGGCUCGGUAAGUCGGGUGUGAAAUGCCGGGGCUCAACCUCGGGACUGCGUCCGAUACUUCCGAGCUGGAGGUAGGUAGGGGAGAUCGGAAUUCCUGGUGUAGCGGUGAAAUGCGCAGAUAUCAGGAGGAACACCGGUGGCGAAGGCGGAUCUCUGGGCCUGACCUGACGCUGAGGCGCGAAAGCUAGGGGAGCAAACGGG
rnacentral:rRNA from 1 species